rnacentral:rRNA from 1 species
GGACCGAACCGACUAAUGUUGAAAAAUUAGCGGAUGACUUGUGGCUGGGGGUGAAAGGCCAAUCAAACCGGGAGAUAGCUGGUUCUCCCCGAAAGCUAUUUAGGUAGCGCCUCGUGAAUUCAUCUCCGGGGGUAGAGCACUGUUUCGGCAAGGGGGUCAUCCCGACUUACCAACCCGAUGCAAACUGCGAAUACCGGAGAAUGUUAUCACGGGAGACACACGGCGGGUGCUAACGUCCGUCGUGAAGAGGGAAACAACCCAGACCGCCAGCUAAGGUCCCAAAGUCAUGGUUAAGUGGGAAACGAUGUGGGAAGGCCCAGACAGCCAGGAUGUUGGCUUAGAAGCAGCCAUCAUUUAAAGAAAGCGUAAUAGCUCACUGGUCGAGUCGGCCUGCGCGGAAGAUGUAACGGGGCUAAACCAUGCACCGAAGCUGCGGCAGCGACGCUGAUGCGUUGUUGGGUAGGGGAGCGUUCUGUAAGCCUGUGAAGGUGUGCUGUGAGGUAUGCUGGAGGUAUCAGAAGUGCGAAUGCUGACAUAAGUAACGAUAAAGCGGGUGAAAAGCCCGCUCGCCGGAAGACCAAGGGUUCCUGUCCAACGUUAAUCGGGGCAGGGUGAGUCGACCCCUAAGGCGAGGCCGAAAGGCGUAGUCGAUGGGAAACAGGUUAAUAUUCCUGUACUUGGUGUUACUGCGAAGGGGGGACGGAGAAGGCUAUGUUGGCCGGGCGACGGUUGUCCCGGUUUAAGCGUGUAGGCUGGUUUUCCAGGCAAAUCCGGAAAACUAAGGCUGAGGCGUGAUGACGAGGCACUACGGUGCUGAAGCAACAAAUGCCCUGCUUCCAGGAAAAGCCUCUAAGCAUCAGGUAACAUCAAAUCGUACCCCAAACCGACACAGGUGGUCAGGUAGAGAAUACCAAGGCGCUUGAGAGAACUCGGGUGAAGGAACUAGGCAAAAUGGUGCCGUAACUUCGGGAGAAGGCACGCUGAUAUGUAGGUGAAGUCCCUCGCGGAUGGAGCUGAAAUCAGUCGAAGAUACCAGCUGGCUGCAACUGUUUAUUAAAAACACAGCACUGUGCAAACACGAAAGUGGACGUAUACGGUGUGACGCCUGCCCGGUGCCGGAAGGUUAAUUGAUGGGGUCAGCGCAAGCGAAGCUCUUGAUCGAAGCCCCGGUAAACGGCGGCCGUAACUAUAACGGUCCUAAGGUAGCGAAAUUCCUUGUCGGGUAAGUUCCGACCUGCACGAAUGGCGUAAUGAUGGCCAGGCUGUCUCCACCCGAGACUCAGUGAAAUUGAACUCGCUGUGAAGAUGCAGUGUACCCGCGGCAAGACGGAAAGACCCCGUGAACCUUUACUAUAGCUUGACACUGAACAUUGAGCCUUGAUGUGUAGGAUAGGUGGGAGGCUUUGAAGUGUGGACGCCAGUCUGCAUGGAGCCGACCUUGAAAUACCACCCUUUAAUGUUUGAUGUUCUAACGUUGACCCGUAAUCCGGGUUGCGGACAGUGUCUGGUGGGUAGUUUGACUGGGGCGGUCUCCUCCUAAAGAGUAACGGAGGAGCACGAAGGUUGGCUAAUCCUGGUCGGACAUCAGGAGGUUAGUGCAAUGGCAUAAGCCAGCUUGACUGCGAGCGUGACGGCGCGAGCAGGUGCGAAAGCAGGUCAUAGUGAUCCGGUGGUUCUGAAUGGAAGGGCCAUCGCUCAACGGAUAAAAGGUACUCCGGGGAUAACAGGCUGAUACCGCCCAAGAGUUCAUAUCGACGGCGGUGUUUGGCACCUCGAUGUCGGCUCAUCACAUCCUGGGGCUGAAGUAGGUCCCAAGGGUAUGGCUGUUCGCCAUUUAAAGUGGUACGCGAGCUGGGUUUAGAACGUCGUGAGACAGUUCGGUCCCUAUCUGCCGUGGGCGCUGGAGAACUGAGGGGGGCUGCUCCUAGUACGAGAGGACCGGAGUGGACGCAUCACUGGUGUUCGGGUUGUCAUGCCAAUGGCACUGCCCGGUAGCUAAAUGCGGAAGAGAUAAGUGCUGAAAGCAUCUAAGCACGAAACUUGCCCCGAGAUGAGUUCUCCCUGACUCCUUGAGAGUCCUGAAGGAACGUUGAAGACGACGACGUUGAUAGGCCGGGUGUGUAAGCGCAGCGAUGCGUUGAGCUAACCGGUACUAAUGAACCGUGAGGCUUAACCUUACAACGCCGAAGGUGUUU